CCCUUAGAUGUCCUGGGCCGCACGCGCGUUACACUGAUGCAUUCAACGAGCUUAUAACCUUGGCCGAGAGGCCUGGGCAAUCUUGUUAACGUGCAUCGUGAUAGGGAUAGAUUAUUGAAAUUAUUAAUCUUGAACGAGGAAUUCCUAGUAAACGCAGAUCAUCAAUCUGCAUUGAUUACGUCCCUGCCCUUUGUACACACCGCCCGUCGCACCUACCGAUUGGAUGGUCCGGUGAGGCCUCGGGAUUGUGGUUCUUGCCGCUUUAUUGUAGCGUGACCGCGAGAACUUGUCUAAACCUUAUCAUCUAGAGGAAGGUGAAGUCGUAACA
rnacentral:rRNA from 1 species